rnacentral:pre_miRNA from 1 species
ACAACAACAUUCGGACCGUCGGUCUACCGAGCAAUAGCACCCGCUCGGUGGAGGAUCUUCCUUUCGUCGUAUAUU